ACACGACUACAUUAGAUACCCCGGUAGUCCCAGCCCUAAACGAUGCGCGUUAGGUGUAUCGGUGACCACGAGUCACCGAGGUGCCGAAGGGAACCGUGAAACGUGCCGCCUGGGAAGUACGGCCGCAAGGCUGAAACUUAAAGGAAUUGGCGGGGGAGCACAACAACGGGUGGAGCUUGCGGUUUAAUUGGAUUCAACGCCGGAAAUCUUACCGGGACCGACAGCAACAUGAAGGCCAAGCUGAAGACUUUGCCGGAUUAGCUG
rnacentral:rRNA from 1 species